CACAACAAGGAAGUGACGCGGUUGCCGCGACGUCGUGCCCGCGUUGCAGGAGUUUGUGGUUGCGCGUGAUUGCGGCUGGACAGUAGAACGCUCCCACCCUUUCGCGUACGUCGUGCUUCGGUUGAGACAUAUCAUGGCGGUCACCAUGGGGUGAACUGGGCUAAGACAAGUGACGCUCGGUCGCCCUCACCGACAUGUUUCUGUUCCUUGUGGGCACGCUGGCCGCGCUGUUGGCCACCUGGCUACUCGUGUGGGUCCGGGGACGUCGCCAAGGGUAUGGCUUCUUUCGUAGGUACAGCAUUGAUGGACCGACGCCCCAUCUGCUCUGGGGAAAUUGGAUGCAACUUAAGGAAGACAGGAUAGCGGUGCUGGAAGAGUGGAUUGCGAAGUAUGGCAAGGUGUUCGGAUUCUACAAGGGCACCGUACCGUACCUGGUCAUCAGCGACGUGGACAUGAUCAAGGAAUGUUUCAUCAAGGAGUCAGGUGUCUUUUACGACCGACCCAGGGCUGCCCUGGUCGUCAAGCCGUACAACAAGACGCUGAUCUUCCUACAAGGGCAGGACUGGAAGCACGUGAGGACGGUGUUGAACCCGAGUUUCAGCGCCGCCAAGAUGAAGUUGAUGACGCCCAUCAUCAGCCGGUGCGUACACGACUUCAUGGACGUGCUCGAGAGGAAAGCGGAGACAGGCGAACCGCUCGACGCCAUGCAAGUCUCGCAGGGGCUCUCGUUGGACGUGAUCGCAAACUGUGCGCUGGCUUGGCAGCUGGACGGCCAAAAGAAGCCGGACAACCCCCUGGCGCAGCUGCUGCGUGGAAUCCUGUACGAGGCCGAGACUGCGUUCACCAUGAGCUUCGUGGCUCUCCCUUUCUUGGGAAAGUGCGCAUCGUGGUCGUACAGUGCCACUCUGCAUUACAAGCGCACCUGGGAGAUCAUCGACAACGUUCGCCGCGUGGUCGAGGCACGACGGCGCUCGCAGAAGGUCGGGGACCUGAGCAGCGGCAGCCGCAGGGUGGACAUCCUGCAGCUCCUCUUGGAUGCCCAGGAGGCGGCUAAAGCGGGCACUGAAGCCUCAAAAGUGACUGCCGAGCAGCCGACAGGCGCUGCCGAGCCCAUUGACGACGACACGCUGCUGGCUAACAGCCUGCUGUUCCUGGUCGCCGGUUUCGAGACCACCGCAAGCACCCUGUCAUUCAUUCUACAUCUGAUGGCUCAGUACCCCGAGGAGCAGGACAAGUUGCACGAGGAACUCGUGCGAAGGUAUCCGGUGGACGAAGACCUGGAUUAUGGCCAGCUACAAGAACUCGAGCGGCUGGAUAUGUUCGUCAAGGAAGCGCUGAGGCUCUACCCUCCGGUGACAAUGCUGGUGUCGCGCCACUGUCGCGCCGACACGACCAUUCUUGGUCAGUUCUUCCCGGCCGGAUGCGAGGUGCUCGCACCGCUCUGGCACGUUCACCACGACCCUCAAAUUUGGCCCGAACCAUUUCGAUUCAACCCCGAGCGAUUUGCCCCAGCAGUAGCGAAGGAUAUUCAUCCCGGCGCUUUCAUACCCUUCGGCAUCGGGCCCAAGUCUUGCAUCGGGAACAGGUUUGCCUUACUUGAAUUGAAGGCCGCACUGUGCAAGCUCUUGAGGAGAUACGAGGUACUGCCGUGCUCGCGAGUUGAAGACCCUAUAGGGCUCAUCGUGCAGACGGUGAUUAUCCGCCCUAAGACACCUAUACAGGUCAAGCUGCGGCAUAGGACAGAAGCCGGGGCUAGCGCCAAGCCGUAAAACACGCUGGCAACGGAAGACAACAUUCUACUGCGUACGCUCUUUUGAUACAGCAUGGUUAAAAACCCGUAGUGGAAAAGCCGAAUCAUCGUGAACCGGCAGUUUUUCUACAUCUCUACCUUGCAGACAUCGGAACGAAGGGCUAUUGAGGCACAAUAAACACUUGCAAUUUUAGAUUCUCCAAAAGCCGUGACUCGCGUAACCGACGCGAACCAAAAAUGGAAUGCACACGCCCAACCACUGAUCAGCCAUGCGGUCGUGGUGAUUUUGCAGCCGAAGUUUUCAGCAGAACGCCGGCGAAAUUUCAAAUAUUGAAGUCAAUGGAAAUUGCCACAUUUUGAACAGGGACGAGUGAGAACGAGUUGUCUGCGGUAUGUACUGCUCUUCACGGCCGUGGAACAUCGAGUGACCUCUGUGCAUUCAAUAUAUAUAUAUAUAUAUAUAUAUAUAUAUAUAUAUAUAUACACAUAUAUAUAUAAAGGGUUGUCCAAAACUGAUGUCAUGUGCAUGACUAGUUAUGCUGUGAAGAUGCUGCGAGAGGUUGCAGCCUCUUUAUGGUGGGCUCAGAAUUCGCUUCUGCGAGCCCAUAUGUGCUACUGUAAACUUUAUCAUACAGGCAUGCCUCGACCAAUAGAGGCAAGUGUGAACAUGCCUGUCUCGCGUUGGAACGUACCUGAACAUUCUGAGUACGUUUUACAUUGACAACGAGUCGUGUUGUACGUUUUACGCACACCAUUUUUUUUUAUGUCUCCCACUUUUGCCCUGCCCAAGUUCAAUGCGCGCAGAACAGCACAUCGUGGGAAAUACGGUCGAAGGCUCAUGCAAGACGAAAUUGUACCAUAGCCACUUGCCCCCCUUUGAAGUCACAUUGCUCGAGUACACUUUGCGACACAUGCACAUUUUGUAGCGAUACUGCGGGUUUUAAUGCAGUGUUUUUAAAUUAUUUUAUGUAGCUCACACAAAAAAUGUACGUACACAAACUGAAAACGUUGUUGGAUCCUAUAGUUAUCGCAGCUGGUGUCGGGAAGAUUGGAAAAAAAAAUACGGAUUUUUCUUUUGCAGGAACACAAGAUGCAGCAUACACACGUUUUACAAACUAAUAUAAUGCACAGGGACUUGAUGAUUCACAGUAAUAUGCAUUCACACAUAUAUAAUAAGGACUCAUUUAGCGCAGGUAAAAGGUUACUAGUUUUAACAUAAUUUUCAAUUGAAUUUCAAAUAAGGACUGGAAUAAAUUUGAAUGAUCUCAUUUCCAUUCUAGAAAUGAGUUCGAACUAAAAAAGUUAACUUGUCGCGUUUCGAAUGCUACAAACGUACUCGUAUCUGUCACGAGGCCUACUAAGUCACUACAACUCAGACAUCCCGGCAAAUUGCCCAGACUGCCCAGAACUUUAUUGCUCACUCUCGCACGUACCGCGUUAGCAAAGGGCCCUCUCUCCAGUGAGCCCGAAUGGGAAGACGCCCUCAAAAGCCGGACCCCAAACUCCAACUCAAGGCUGUCCAGAGGGCCCAAGAACUGGCGGAGCGUCACCACGUUCCCGUCCCCACUUGGGCCAGAGGAGCUCCCCGCGUGGAAUCUCCAACGGCUUAAAACUCCUCUGGACCUCAAUAAAGUUCUUGACUGACGUACAUUUUCAUCGGCUUAGAUUCUUCGCCGUAGAUGCUGCCUCUUGUUCCCUUUAUAUGAUUUGAGAAUAAAUCGUUCCGCAUUCACGGGCCGUGGGUAAGGGUCGGGUACAUAGGUCGGCAUACGCACUCACGAGCGCACUGACUCGUACUCGCUCCAUAUUUAUUUUACAGGCCUGAGAUGAAGCGUUAGUGAGUGACGAAGGGUGUGAGUGGACACGUGAGUAUAAGAACGAGAGUGAGUAUGAGCAGGAGUGAGUGACGGUCAUCGUGAGCGCGAACGAAAGUCACCGACGGUGAUUUCAAGUCGACGAGAGUGACGGUCGGAGAGUGUGGGUGGACCUGAAGUGACGGUCGGAGAGUGUGGGUGGACCUGAGUAAGGAUGCGAGCGAGUGUCCGUAAGUGGGAGUGGAUGCGAGAAUGAGCGGGGUUGAGUGCCAGGAAGU